rnacentral:sRNA from 1 species
GAGGAUCUACCAUUCUAUGCAGUUGGAUAUUGGUGUGCUGUUUAUUGUUUCCUUUUAUACUUCCGUUUUUCUUGCAGUUGAUAAUGGAGAAAAAUUUGAAUUCUCAGGAUUGAGGCUGGACUGGUUCCGCCUACAGGUAAUGAUCUGUUCCUGUUAAAGAUUCUCAUCCUCAGAUUCUUCCUCCCCCACAAUCCCUUCUCUUUUUAUCUCCUAAAUUUGCUUUAUGGAGUGAGUCAACUUUGAAAACUGCUAAUUGGACAAGACAUACUCAGGCCAAACUGUAAUUCCAAGGCUGGGGGCCCUUUUCAUUCAUCUUAUUUUUCUCCACCCUUUCCCAACUCCAACUGCAGGCAUACACUAGCGUGGCUAAGGCCCCUCUGCACCUGCAUGAGAACCCUGACUUAGCCAAGGUGAUGAACCUCAUUGUCUUCCACUCCCGAAUGCUGGACUCAGUAGAAAAAUUGCUGGUGGAAACUUCUGAUCUGUCUACUUUCUGCUUUCAUCUCCGUAUCUUUGAGAAGAUGUUUGCCAUGACCUUGGAGGAACCUACCAUGUUGCGUUAUGCCAUUGCUUUCCCCCUGAUUUGUGCUCACUUUGUCCACUGCACUCAUGAGAUGUGCCCAGAGGAG